rnacentral:rRNA from 1 species
UGAGUUUGAUCCUGGCUCAGGAUGAACGCUAGCGGAACGCCUAACACAUGCAAGUCGAACGAGAAUCUAUCUUCGGAUAGAGGAAAGUGGCAAACGGGCGAGUAACGCGUGUCUAACCUGCCCUGGAGUGGAUGACAACUAUGGAGACAUAGCUAAUCACCCAUACGCCCUUAUGAAUGAAAAUAGUAAGGGGAAAGAUUUAUCGCUCUAGGAGGGGGAUGCGUCCUAUCAGUUAGUUGGUGAGGUAACGGCUCACCAAGACGAUGACGGGUAGCCGGUCUGAGAGGAUGUCCGGCCGCAAUGGAACUGAGACACGGUCCAUACUCCUACGGGAGGCAGCAGUGGGGAAUAUUGCGCAAUGGGCGAAAGCCUGACGCAGCGAUUCCGCGUGGAGGAUGAAGCCUUAAGGGGUGUAAACUCCUUUUCUGGAGGAAGACGAAUGACGGUACUCCAGGAAUAAGGGACGGCUAACUACGUGCCAGCAGCCGCGGUAAUACGUAGGUCCCAAGCGUUAUCCGGAGUUACNNNNCGUAAAGCGUCUGCAGCCGGGUAUAUAAGUCUAUUUUCAAAGACUACGACUCAAUCGUAGGAAGGGAAUAGAUACUGUAUACCUAGAGGAUUUUAGA